UCGGGAAUUUUGGGCAAUGGGCGAAAGCCUGACCCAGCAACGCCGCGUGAAGGAUGAAGUAUUUCGGUAUGUAAACUUCGAAAGAAUAGGAAGAAUAAAUGACGGUACUAUUUAUAAGGUCCGGCUAACUACGUGCCAGCAGCCGCGGUAAUACGUAGGGACCAAGCGUUGUUCGGAUUUACUGGGCGUAAAGGGCGCGUAGGCGGUGUGUCAAGUCAGUUGUGAAAUCUCCGAGCUUAACUCGGAACGGUCAACUGAUACUGUCACACUAGAGUACAGAAGGGGCAAUCGGAAUUCUUGGUGUAGCGGUGAAAUGCGUAGAUAUCAAGAGGAACACCUGAGGCGAAGGCGGGUUGCUGGGCUGACACUGACGCUGAGGCGCGAAAGCCAGGGGAGCAAACGGGAUUAGAUACCCACGUAGUCCCUGAGCGGGCUGGCAAGGCGCAU
rnacentral:rRNA from 1 species